UACGUAGGGGGCGAGCGUUGUCCGGAUUUACUGGGCGUAAAGCGCGUGUAGGCGGCUUCUUAAGUCGGGUGUGAAAGCCCGGGGCUCAACUCCGGGAUGCCGCCCGAGACUGGGAGGCUUGAGGUCGGAAGAGGGGAGUGGAAUUCCAGGUGUAGCGGUGAAAUGCGUAGAGAUCUGGAGGAACACCCGUGGCGAAGGCGGCUCCCUGGUCCGGUUCUGACGCUGAGACGCGAAAGCGCGGGGAGCGAACGGG
rnacentral:rRNA from 1 species